GAAGCACCGGCUAACUCCGUGCCAGCAGCCGCGGUAAUACGGAGGGUGCGAGCGUUAAUCGGAAUUACUGGGCGUAAAAGCGCAUGCAGGUGGUUUGUUAAGUCAGAUGUGAAAGCCCGGGGCUCAACCUCGGAAUUGCAUUUGAAAACUGGCAAACUAGAGUACUGUAGAGGGGGUAGGAAUUUCAGGUGUAGCGGUGAAAUGCGUAGAGAUCUGAAGGAAUACCGGUGGCGAAGGCGGCCCCCUGGACAGAUACUGACACUCAGAUGCGAAAGCGUGGGGAGCAAACAGGAUUAGAUACCCUGGUAG
rnacentral:rRNA from 1 species